CAAAAAAUUAGUAAUUAACCCUAGAGAUUUUUGGUGAAAUUCAAACCAUAAAAUUAUAUUCAGUUGUGGCCCAUUAUAACCAACGGAAAAAAUUGGGAAAAGUACUAUUGCUAAUAGCAAUCCACAGAAAUGGUGAAUUUUAUAUAAUGAAAUAAGGAGAAGGCUGAGCUACCUCAAACAAUGUUCGAUCAGUACCACCAGUUAUAUUCCACACAAUUCCAGUAGCUCUCUCUAUACCAAUAUCAAGCAAAGGAUCAUGUAAUGCAUUUAACACAGCAUCUCUAGCCCAGGUUUUGUCCUGCAUUAUAUAAAAAUUAAAAAUAAAAUUCCAACUUUUUUUUUUUUCAUGAGUGGUGUUUUAUUGCACUUGAAGAAAUAAAGCAUCAGAUGGGAAACUGCUGCAAAACAAAGGAUCCAGACUACAGAAAAUGAAAGAGGAGAAGCAAGCUUGUGAUUUUACCUUUGCAUCGGCUGAUUAAUGCUCACUGCUAUACUGCUUCGAGCGACCCUCGUUCUUUGUCAAUUCUGGAAGCAGGCUGAUAAUCGAUCCUUGGCCGGAACUUAGUGUUCUGUGAUUUUGAUUUGCAGGAAAUGAGUGAAGAAGCCCACUUGAGAUUGAGCUGCGAUUCUUCAAUCCCGUCCUCCCCGACUCACAAUUUGGUAGAUUUUCCAGCGAUUAAAUGCGGCGGCGAAGGGGUGCGGAUUUACGGCGGCCGGUGAGGCAGAAGUACCCGAAUGUGUGCUGGACGCUUUUGUGGGUUCGUGGUUCUGCGUUUGUGAAGAAUAGUUCUCGUUCAAAACUGAUCCU